CUCACUAUUUUCGUUCUCCGGAAGCUCUUGUUCAUUUCUUUCUCCAGUGGACUCUUCUCCAGAAUUCUCCUCGGGGCUCUUGUUCAGUUGUUCAGCUUCAGUUCGAGAUCCAUCUUAUAUUUAUAUAUAUAUGCAAAGAGAAAAAUGAAAAAUAAUCUUCAAAUAAUCUUCAAAAUAAUCUUCAAAAAUGCAAGUUACUAUUGUAAAAUAAGUACUAAAUUCCUUAGGCAUGCACGCAUAGAAUCACAUCAAGGAGAAGAUCUUGAAUCAAAUAAAUUUACAUACCUGCCAUUGAUGAAAGCUGUAGAGUUCUUAUGUUCAACAGGCAAUACAGACUAGAUGUUUUGAAUGUGUGUUUGGAAUAGAGGAUGGAUCUCUUUAAAACCAGUAGAAAG
rnacentral:lncRNA from 1 species